ACAGAUGAGGCAAGUCAGCCUCGUGGAGCUUCAUCCUGCUGGUCAGGCCAGGCCAGAACGGCCAGGCCACAGACCCAGGGCUAGACCAUGGCCCCAGCCAAAGGGACAGGAUAUUUCCCAUGCUCAGAGGAGGAAGAUGAGACAGAGAGAGGUGAAGGAACUGCCCUGACUCAGGUCACGCUGCUGGUCUCUUGCACUGGCAGGCAGACUCUUUACCACUGUGCCGCCUGGGAAGCCUGAGGAGGGAGGAGGAGGCAUCACUCAGCUGGCCCCCCACUCCCAGCCCCCACUUAGCCCUAUGGGGGGUCCCUGCCUCAUGCAGUGACUGCUGCCUGCC
ensembl:lncRNA